rnacentral:rRNA from 1 species
GCGGUCAGUUGAUCUGAACUCAGGAUCACUCGUGUUACACUGCAAUCGCGUGUCGCCCUUUUCCGGUUGAUCCUGCCGGAGGCCAUUGCUAUUGGGAUUCGAUUUAGCCAUGCUAGUCGCACGAGUUCAGACUCGUGGCGAAUAGCUCAGUAACACGUGGCCAAACUACCCUUCGGAGCACGAUACCCUCGGGAAACUGAGGCUAAUAGUGCAUACCACAAUCCACCUGGAAUGAGGAUUGUGCCAAAUGCUCCGGCACCGAAGGAUGUGGCUGCGGCCGAUUAGGUAGACGGUGGGGUAACGGCCCACCGUGCCAAUAAUCGGUACGGGUCAUGAGAGUGAGAACCCGGAGACGGAAUCUGAGACAAGAUUCCGGGCCCUACGGGGCGCAGCAGGCGCGAAACCUUUACACUGCACGCCAGUGCGAUAAGGGAAUCCCAAGUGCGUAGGCAUAGAGCCUACGCUUUUGUACACCGUAGGGAGGUGUACGAAUAAGGGCUGGGCAAGACCGGUGCCAGCCGCCGCGGUAAUACCGGCAGCCCGAGUGAUGGCCGAUCUUAUUGGGCCUAAAGCGUCCGUAGCUGGCCGCGCAAGUCCAUCGGAAAAUCCACCCGCUCAACGGGUGGGCGUCCGGUGGAAACUGCGUGGCUUGGGACCGGAAGGCGCGACGGGUACGUCCGGGGUAGGAGUGAAAUCCUGUAAUCCUGGACGGACCGCCGAUGGCGAAAGCACGUCGCGAGGACGGAUCCGACAGUGAGGGACGAAAGCCAGGGUCUCGAACCGGAUUAGAUACCCGGGUAGUCCUGGCCGUAAACAAUGUCUGUUAGGUGUGGCUCCCACUACGAGUGGGUGCUGUGCCGUAGGGAAGCCGCUAAACAGACCGCCUGGGAAGUACGUCUGCAAGGAUGAAACUUAAAGGAAUUGGCGGGGGAGCACUACAACCGGAGGAGCCUGCGGUUUAAUUGGACUCAACGCCGGACAUCUCACCAGCGUCGACUGUAAUAAUGACGAUCAGGUUGAUGACCUUAUCCGAGUUUCAGAGAGGAGGUGCAUGGCCGCCGUCAGCUCGUACCGUGAGGCGUCCUGUUAAGUCAGGCAACGAGCGAGACCCGCAUCCUUACUUGCCAGCAGCACUGCGAAGUGGCUGGGGACAGUAGGGAGACCGCCGUGGCCAACACGGAGGAAGGAACGGGCAACGGUAGGUCAGUAUGCCCCGAAUGCGCUGGGCAACACGCGGGCUACAAUGGUCGAGACAAAGGGUUCCAACUCCGAAAGGAGACGGUAAUCUCAGAAACUCGAUCGUAGUUCGGAUUGUGGGCUGCAACUCGCCCACAUGAAGCUGGAUUCGGUAGUAAUCGCGUGUCAUAAGCGCGCGGUGAAUACGUCCCUGCUCCUUGCACACACCGCCCGUCAAAGCACCCGAGUGAGGUCCGGAUGAGGCUCGUUACACGAGUCGAAUCUGGGCUUCGCAAGGGGGCUUAAGUCGUAACAAGGUAGCCGUAGGGGAAUCUGCGGCUGGAUCACCUCCUAAGGGCGACACGCGAUUGCAGUCUUGAGUCCACCUGAAGGAUUCAAGU